UAUGCGUUGUUGGGUAGGGGAGCGUUCUGUAAGCCUGUGAAGGUGUGCUGUGAGGCAUGCUGGAGGUAUCAGAAGUGCGAAUGCUGACAUAAGUAACGAUAAAGCGGGUGAAAAGCCCGCUCGCCGGAAGACCAAGGGUUCCUGUCCAACGUUAAUCGGGGCAGGGUGAGUCGACCCCUAAGGCGAGGCCGAAAGGCGUAGUCGAUGGGAAACAGGUUAAUAUUCCUGUACUUGGUGUUACUGCGAAGGGGGGACGGAGAAGGCUAUGUUGGCCGGGCGACGGUUGUCCCGGUUUAAGCGUGUAGGCUGGUUUUCCAGGCAAAUCCGGAAAAUCAAGGCUGAGGCGUGAUGACGAGGCACUACGGUGCUGAAGCAACAAAUGCCCUGCUUCCAGGAAAAGCCUCUAAGCAUCAGGUAACAUCAAAUCGUACCCCAAACCGACACAGGUGGUCAGGUAGAGAAUACCAAGGCGCUUGAGAGAACUCGGGUGAAGGAACUAGGCAAAAUGGUGCCGUAACUUCGGGAGAAGG
rnacentral:rRNA from 1 species